rnacentral:rRNA from 1 species
ACCCGUCAAAGCCUGGUAGGCCGUUACCCUACCAACAAGUUGAUAGGACAUGAGCUCAUCAAAGAGGGGUACACUCACAGUGCAGCUUUCCUUCCGAACCGGAAGAUUGGGAGGGGUACGCGGUAUUAGCCAACCUUUGGUUGGUUAUUCCCCACUGGAUGGUAGAUUACCCAUGUAUUCCUCACCCGUUUCGCCGCUUUACAAGUGUAUUGCUACACCUUCUCGCUGGACUUGCAUGUAUUAGGCGCGCCGCCAGCGUUCGUUCUGAGCCAUGAUCAGACUUUAAUCACUAGUGAAUUCGCGC